CCCUGACUGGCUAUCAGAUGAGCCUAGGUCGGAUUAGCUAGUUGGUCCGAUUGUAAAGAGCUCACCAAGGCGACGAUCCGUAACUGGUCUGAGAGGAUGAUCAGUCACACUGGAACUGAGACACGGUCCAGACUCCUACGGGAGGCAGCAGUGGGGAAUAUUGGACAAUGGGCGAAAGCCUGAUCCAGCCAUGCCGCGUGUGUGAAGAAGGUCUUCGGAUUGUAAAGCACUUUAAGUUGGGAGGAAGGGCUGUAGGCUAAUAUCCUGCAGUUUUGACGUUACCGACAGAAUAAGCACCGGCUAACUUCGUGCCAGCAGCCGCGGUAAUACGAAGGGUGCAAGCGUUAAUCGGAAUUACUGGGCGUAAAGCGUGUGUAGGCGGUUUGCUAAGUUGGAGGUGAAAGCCCCGGGCUCAACCUGGGAACUGCCUCCAAAACUGGCUGACUAGAGUACGGUAGAGGGUGGUGGAAUUUCCUGUGUAGCGGUGAAAUGCGUAGAUAUAGGAAGGAACACCAGUG
rnacentral:rRNA from 1 species